ACACAUGCAAGUUGAACGAGAAUUUACCCGGCUUGCCGGGUGAAGGGAAGUGGCGCACGGGUGAGUAACACAUGGGAACAUACCCUGAAGUGGGGAAUAACAGUUGGAAACGAUUGCUAAUACCGCAUAAUCCCUGAGGGGGAAAGAUUUAUCGCUUUAGGAAUGGCCCAUGGCAGAUUAGGCAGUUGGUGAGGUAACGGCUCACCAAACCGACGAUCUGUAGCUGGUCUGAGAGGACGAUCAGCCACACUGGAACUGAGACACGGUCCAGACUCCUACGGGAGGCAGCAGUGAGGAAUAUUGGGCAAUGGGGGCAACCCUGACCCAGCCAUGCCGCGUGAGUGAAGAAGGUUUUCGGAUUGUAAAGCUCUUUCGGACGUGAAGAUGAUGACUGUAGCGUCUAAAGAAGCCCCGGCUAACUUCGUGCCAGCAGCCGCGGUAAUACGAAGGGGGCAAGCGUUGUUCGGAAUUACUGGGCGUAAAGGGUGUGUAGGUGGAUUGGUAAGAUAGUGGUGAAAUACCGGGGCUCAACCUUGGAAUUGCCAUUAUAACUAUCAGUCUUGAAUCAUGGAGAGGAUAGCGGAAUACCCAGUGUAGAGGUGAAAUUCGUAGAUAUUGGGUAGAACACCAGUGGCGAAGGCGGCUAUCUGGCCAUGUAUUGACACUGAGGCACGAAAGCAUGGGGAUCAAACAGGAUUAGAUACCCUGGUAGUCCAUGCUGUAAACGAUGAAUGCUGGUUGUCGGCGAUAAGUCGGUGACGAAGUUAACGCGAUAAGCAUUCCGCCUGGGGAGUACGGCCGCA
rnacentral:rRNA from 1 species